GACGAACGCUGGCGGCGUGCUUAACACAUGCAAGUCGAACGGAAAGGCCCUGCUUUUGUGGGGUGCUCGAGUGGCGAACGGGUGAGUAACACGUGAGUAACCUGCCCUUGACUUUGGGAUAACUUCAGGAAACUGGGGCUAAUACCGGAUAGGAGCUCCUGCUGCAUGGUGGGGGUUGGAAAGUUUCGGCGGUUGGGGAUGGACUCGCGGCUUAUCAGCUUGUUGGUGGGGUAGUGGCUUACCAAGGCUUUGACGGGUAGCCGGCCUGAGAGGGUGACCGGCCACAUGGGGACUGAGAUACGGCCCAGACUGCUACGGGAGGCAGCAGUGGAGAAUAUUGCACAAUGGGCGGAAGCCUGAUGCAGCAACGCCGCGUGCGGGAUGACGGCCUUCGGGUUGUAAACCGCUUUCGCCUGUGACGAAGCGUGAGUGACGGUAAUGGGUAAAGAAGCACCGGCUAACUACGUG
rnacentral:rRNA from 1 species